ACGAAGAGAGAGAGAGAGAGCGGUCGAAGGGGCGAGAGACAGCCUGUUCCCUUACGCACCUUAUCCUCCCGGUUUUCCGGCUAUGCACCUGCAGCCACUCCUUGCAGUCGCCCUCAUCUUCCUCCUCCUCCUCCUCUUCCUCAUCCUCCUGUCCUCCUCCACGGCGGUCGGACAGCGGUAGUGCGCACUGAGCCUCCGUGAGUGCGCAAAGGUGUCCGGCGGCAUGCACCUGGAGAGAAACCGCCCCGCCGAACCGGAGGAGGGCUCCGCCGGAGACGCAACGGGAUGCGGACUGAUGCUCUAACGGCUGGGAUACAGCAGCAAGAGGCACCGGGCAGGAGAUCGGAGCCGCAGCAUGGGCGUGGGAGAAAGGAGAGAGGAGAGGAGCAGCUAAAAAAAAUGAACGCGAUGUAAUUACACGAGCAUCUAAAGAAGGGUGGGUGGGGGGAGAAGAACCUGAGCUGCGUUCGGAUAAAGAGUUGGAAAAAGGUGUAUUUUGGGUUUGGUUCGGUGUCUUGUCCUCUUUGAUUUUCACCAAAACAGUACUUUUCCUCCAGUGGAGUUUUUUUUUUUUUUUUAAUUAUUAUUAAUCAAGGAUGGAGAAAGCUGCGCAUCAGCCAUCCAAAGGCGCAGAGAGUCCGGCGGACGACCUCUCCAAAAUAACCGACGAGGAGCUGCUGAAGUGGGGGAAAGAGGAGCUGGUGAGGCGGCUGCGGAGGACGGAGGCAGAGAAGAGGAGUGUCAUAGUGGAACACGGCAAUCUGAUGAGGGAGGUGAACCGGCGACUCCAGCAGCACCUGAAUGAGAUCCGGAGUUUGAAGGACGUGAACCAGAAACUGCAGGAGGACAACCAGGAGCUGAGGGACCUGUGCUGCUUCCUGGAUGACGACAGGCAGAAGGGGAAGCGGGUGUCGCGGGAGUGGCAGCGUUUGGGCCGUUACAGCGCCGGGCUGAUGAGGAAAGAGGUGGCCAUCUACCUGCAGAAGCUGAAGGAGCUGGAGCAGCGGCAGGUGGAGGUCAUCCGUGAGAACCUGGAGCUGAAGGAGGUGUGCCUCAUGUUGGAAGAGGAGCGGGCUGCCGUCGUGGGUGGAGGGGGAGGCGGAGGAGGGGGACCCGGCUGCAGGAGCUCCAUCGACAGUCAGAGCAGCCUGUCACAGCUGGGUGGAGGCGUCCCCGCACCUGGUCUGCUCCGGGAUGUUGGAGACGGGAGCAGCACCUCCAGUGCAGGGAGUACGGAUAGCCCCGAUAACCCCCACCACAAGCCCCCUCCCCUGGGCUCUAAUGCCAGCCCUGGAUCUGGAUCGAGACCAGGAGACGUCUGUCAGUCCCCAGGUGGCAGGAGACACAGCUCCACCCCGGAGUACCACACCUUCCCCCAGUCCUGCCGGCCUCGAGGUGGGUCCCUCACCAACCUGGAACCUCACGGUCUUCGAGGUCACAGUCCAGAAAAACACAGCAAGUCCCCGACCAGAUGUGAUUACACCCCCAAACCCUGCAGCUCUGACCUACUGGCCCAGAAACAGAUAUUUAUCUCAGAGCAGGCGUCACCGGGGAAGGGCACGGCCAAGUCCAGCCCAGAACUGAGUCAGAGACACCGGCCGGUGACGGGGACAGCGGGCGGCGGGGGUCUGGACGCAUCAAUGGGAACACCCGAGCACAUAAGGAAAGCACGGGUGAUCGUGGGGAGUCCGGAGUCUAUACGGCACCACCAUCACUACCAGCACAGUCCUGGACUGGAGCAGGGGAAGGGGAGGUACAGCAGCAGCUCACCCGGAAGGGACGGGAGCAGGAGGAGGACCCCGGGCGAGGAGGUGAACACCCACCACCAGAGUCUGUACAACGGUAGGCACAGGCUCUGAUAUCUGCUGGCUGCUGCACCAACUCCUGUAGGAGUACAAAGCUUUGGGACAGCUUUGAUGCUUCCUGACCAUGACAUGCCUCUCGAUCAGAUGCUGCUGUGACAAGAUACCCAGGAGACCGAGGACGGGGUUAUUAGCAGAAGGAAAAAAGUGGAUCAAUACUUAAGUGGAUGGAUAAACGGAGGGAUAUGUGAAUUUCUAAAUGAAGCAGUGAAGGACGAGCGAGCAGACGAGUGGAACAAGGCGACAAAGUGGCAAAACUCCGGAAAACACUUGAACAUUCAUAUUCUCUGCCCUGUCUGCUGCUGCUGCUGCUGCUAUGCAUUUCCUGUUGACCACCAGAAAAGACUGAAUGUCACUGAUUGAACGGGCAGAGCCUAACCGCUGCAUUGCCAAAAUGAAAACAGGAAGUAAAUAAAAGACAGUGGAAUAUCUUGUGUUGCCAACAAAAUAGUCCUACCUCUUUGGAAAGACAGAGACCCUUUGGAUGAAGGUGAUUUUCUCCUGGUAACACUGGAGGUUACAGCCCCUUUUCUCCAAAAAAAAAAAAAAAAAAAAAAAAUCACAUUGCCAGUGAUUAUUUUAAAACAUGUAACCUAACAUAUGAGGACUUUUACUAAAUUGUUCUGGACCAGUAAUUAAAGCACAAUAAGUAAUUUCAAUUUAACGGGGAUGAUGUUUUUACAGUUUUUAAAGGAUAAUUCUGAUUUAUUGCAACCUGGGUCUUAUUUUUGUUGGAAUCCAGAU